rnacentral:rRNA from 1 species
GGAUGAACGCUAGCGGCAGGCCUAAUACAUGCAAGUCGAACGGUGAUAGCAAUAUCAUAGUGGCGCACGGGUGCGUAACACGUAUGCAACCUACCUUAUACUGAGGGAUAGCCUUUCGAAAGGGAGAUUAAUACCUCAUAACACAUUGAACUGGCAUCAGUUUAUUGUUAAAGAUUUAUUGGUAUAAGAUGGGCAUGCGUCCAAUUAGUUAGUUGGCGAGGUAACGGCUCACCAAGACGAUGAUUGGUAGGGGAACUGAGAGGUUAAUCCCCCACACUGGCACUGAGAUACGGGCCAGACUCCUACGGGAGGCAGCAGUAGGGAAUAUUGGGCAAUGGAGGCAACUCUGACCCAGCCAUGCCGCGUGCAGGAAGAAGGCGUUAUGCGUUGUAAACUGCUUUUAUAUAGGAAGAAAUAGACCUUGCGAGGUAAGUUGACGGUACUAUAUGAAUAAGCACCGGCUAACUCCGUGCCAGCAGCCGCGGUAAUACGGAGGGUGCAAGCGUUGUCCGGAUUUAUUGGGUUUAAAGGGUGCGUAGGCGGUUUAUUAAGUCAGUGGUGAAAGACGGUCGCUCAACGAUUGCAGUGCCAUUGAUACUGGUAG